rnacentral:lncRNA from 1 species
CGGGCUUCAGGUCUUGCAAACGGCACGGACACGGAACGGACUUCCGACCGUGUUUUCCAUCCCAGCUCCUCCACCCACCCCAAAGGGAGGACGAGGCUAGCCCAACCAUCGCCACUGCCCUGUUAUCCUAUUUGCUGUGCAUUCUUGGCAAUAAUGUAUCAUGUGGGAAGCACGUCGUCUGCAUGAAGCAAGCGAGCUGUGACUCAUCCGUCCUUGGAUGUGGGAGUGUUGGCAGUCAGUUCAACACCGUUUCCCUGCCUGCAUGCCAGGUG